rnacentral:tRNA from 1 species
GGAGAGAUGCUCGAGUGGCUGAAGAGGCUCGCCUGGAAAGCGAGUAUACGUCAAAAACGUAUCGAGGGUUCGAAUCCCUCUUUCUCCG